GGGGGUGUGGUGGAAUGGUAGACGCGACAGACUUAAAAUCUGUUAUCUUCGGAUGUGCGAGUUCAAGUCUCGCCACCCCCA
rnacentral:tRNA from 1 species